rnacentral:misc_RNA from 1 species
CCAAUCUGGUUUGUAACAGAGGUAUGUUUAUUCAGGACUAGUUUUCCCAUUUUCAUUUCUGUUACAUGUAAAGAUCAAUUUUGUGCAACAAUCCAUUCAUUAGUUUAGGAAAUUCUCCUUUAUAGAGAUGUAUGUAAAAAGUGAAUAAUUUCCCCUCCACAUUCUGCAUACAUAUUGUAGUGUUGCUUUUAGAAAUAUUGAUUUCCUUCAAACAGUCAGCCUUCCAAACAUAUUAGUUAUUUACACAUUGCAAGUACUCUGGUGAGAUAGCCUGGCACAAUGUCAUAGAUCCAUGAUACAAUUGAUGUUUGUGGUGUCUCUGUGCAUAAAUUGGCAUGCUUUAGCAUCACAUAGGUUUCUGGGUUAACUAGACCUAGGAUUUUGAAAGUUGUUCAUCACCUAAGGCUGUCUCAUGAGAUUCCCUGGUGACUCUUUUGGGGUUUAGUUAGUGCAUUGUUGGCUGACUCACUGGAUCCCUUUGGUAAUUACUAAUUAGUACAUUGUGCAGCCAUCAUUACUUCAUUUGGUGUUCAUAGAGACCAAAUCGGCCCCUUGUAGUAUUAAAUGAAAAAAAAAAUAAAUCAUAAGAGUGUUUCCCUUGCUUGUGCACUUGUAAUUUGUCCUCGACUUAAUAUAAUUUUACAUGCUUACAAUGAUUAAGGCAUACCAUUGUUGUAUUGUUGCAUGACUUUUCUGUUGCUAAAAAAAAUUGUUUCUAGAUAAUUGGCAACUUAUAAUAUUUUUAUAUUUUUUUAAGGUGACUUAUUUAACUCUAACAAUACUAUAAAAUUCAAUUUGAACAACACCACAGAACUGUAUGUAUAAAACAUUUGCAUUUUGCUUGGAAUUAGACUUCCUUUGAUAAUCAGAUUCUUUUUUUUACUGUCAAUAUAAUAUUUUAUAUUGAGUUGCUAUCUAUCAUGGACUUCCAGGUUAUUGCCAAUUG